UACGAAGGGUGCAAACGUUGCUCGGAAUUAUUGGGCGUAAAGCGCACGUAGGCGGCUCUAUAAGUCGGAUGUGAAAUCCCUCGGCUCAACCAAGGAAGUGCAUCCGAAACUGUGGAGCUUGAGUACUUAAGAGGAUCGCGGAAUUCCCGGUGUAGAGGUGAAAUUCGUAGAUAUCGGGAGGAACACCAGUGGCGAAGGCGGCGAUCUGGGAAGAUACUGACGCUGAGGUGCGACAGCGUGGGGAGCAAACAGG
rnacentral:rRNA from 1 species